rnacentral:rRNA from 1 species
GGUGAACGCUGGCGGUAUGCCUAACACAUGCAAGUCGAACGGCAACCCAUUAAUACCUUGCUCUGCCGGGUCGCGAGUGGGGGUCGGGUGAGGGAUACAUCCGAAGCUGCUUUUUCUUGGAGGAUAACGUAGCUGAACUUACCCUAAUACCUCAUACGGCCUACUGUUGAAACCAAUGGAUCGUCGUACCUUGCGCGAUUGAAUCAGCCUAUUUCGGAUUAGCUAGUUUGCCGGGUAAAGGCACACCAAGGCGACGAUCCGUAUCUGCUGUGAGAGGGUGAGCAGCCCGACUGGAACUGGGACACGGCCCAGAGUCCAACGGGAGGCAGCAGUGGGGAAUAUUGGACAAUGGGGGGAAGCAUGUUGCAGAAAGACGGCGUGGGUGAAGAAGGCAUUCGGGGUGUAAAGCCAAUUUGUUGGGAAAGAAAAGCAGCAGGAGAAGACCACGAUGUUAUGACGGUACCCAAAGAAUAAGCAACGGCUAACUACGUG